CCUACGGGAGGCAGCAGUCGAGAAUCAUUCACAAUGGGGGAAACCCUGAUGGUGCGACGCCGCGUGGGGGAAUGAAGGUCUUCGGAUUGUAAACCCCUGUCAUGUGGGAGCAAAUUAAAAAGAUAGUACCACAAGAGGAAGAGACGGCUAACUCUGUGCCAGCAGCCGCGGUAAUACAGAGGUCUCAAGCGUUGUUCGGAAUCACUGGGCGUAAAGCGUGCGUAGGCUGUUUCGUAAGUCGUGUGUGAAAGGCGCGGGCUCAACCCGCGGACGGCACAUGAUACUGCGAGACUAGAGUAAUGGAGGGGGAACCGGAAUUCUCGGUGUAGCAGUGAAAUGCGUAGAUAUCGAGAGGAACACUCAUGGCGAAGGCGGGUUCCUGGACAUUAACUGACGCUGAGGCACGAAGGCCAGGGGAGCGAACGGGAUUAGAUACCCGGGUAGUC
rnacentral:rRNA from 1 species